GUGUCAGCCGCCGCGGUAAUACGUAGGUUGCGAGCGUUAUUCGGAUUUACUGGGCGUAAAGCGCACCGAGGUGGCUUCUUAAGUUGGAUGUAAAAUCUCCCGGCUUAACUGGGAGGCGCCAUUCAAAACUGGGGAGCUUGAGGCCAGCAGGGGAAGGUGGAAUUCCCGGUGUAGUGGUGGAAUGCGUAGAGAUCGGGAGGAACACCAGUGGCGAAAGCGACCUUCUGGGCUGCGCCUGACACUCUAGUGCGAAAGCGUGGGGAGCAAACAGGAUUAGAAACCCGGGUAGUCC
rnacentral:rRNA from 1 species